GGAGAGGUGGCCGAGUGGCUGAAGGCGCACGCUUGGAAAGCGUGUAUACGGGAGACCGUAUCGGGGGUUCGAAUCCCUUCCUCUCCG
rnacentral:tRNA from 1 species